ACAUAACCCCACAAGGUGCUGUCCCCCUGUGGUGCUGUGCAUAUAAAUAGAAGAUGGGAGAGACCUCUCCAUUGAUUUUUCUAAGCUACCAAUCACAUAACCAAUGCACAGAAAUCACAGGAAGGACUCUCCUCUACCGAUCUUCACAUCCUAAAGGCAAGAACAGAGACAGGAAGCUCAAGUCUCAAGAAAACGUUUUCUGAGAAUUCAUGAUUGAGAUUUGAGAAUGCAAAAAAGGGAAAAGAUCCUCACGGGUUGCAUCAUAUUUAGCAAUGAAACACGGGGAUUAGACUAAGCCACUUCAGACUGGCAUGCCAAUCCGACAUGAUUUGGCUAGAUUCCUACCUGUCCAAAAAUGUCCUUGAAAAGAAUCCAAGCAUGUUCAGAUUAAAUUGUUCCUUAUCAUCAGUCAGGAAACUGUACAGUAUGUUUCCACCUGUUUCCGUUAAUGUAUCAUAAAACAGGCACCAACUGCCAAGAAAAAGGGCUAGUAACAUAAGCUCAGUUCAAUGCAAGACAGUGAAAUGUUCAAAGCAUCAGCAUAAGAACUGAUGCAUCAUGUCCGCACAUCCACAUCAAUCAGCGACCAUCACACGGUUAAGCGGUAACAUCCUUAGGAGGGCACAGCGUAGGUUGGGCAUCAGAAGACAGGUCUGUGAUGGACAUCAGUUUUGAUCUGUACUUGUCAGCCCCAUCGUCCAGCUUCCCGUUCUCUGCAAUGGAGAUCGGUGUCUUCACCGUCUGGGGUGAAGGUGUCUCUGGAACAGACUGGGAGAUUGCGAUCAGAGACUGACGAGCAGCUUCCCGACUUAGCUCGGUCGGUGCUGAAGGUGAGGCCAUCAAUUGAAGGCUGCAUUUUGAGUGUUGAAGGCCAUCAGAACUCUAGAGACUUGUGAUGCGAUGAAGUGGGAAGAGCACAUAAUGCAUGUAUGGCAUGGUAAAAGUAGCAAGAUAACCAAGGAACAGAACAAAAAAAAACACACUACUAUUUCUGCAGUAAGGAAGCCCCUGAAGGCUAGAGGGGAAACAAUUGGUAAUAUAAGGGAGAAAUCAUCAUUUGGCUAAUAAAUUGGUUGCUGAAAGCUCUGGACUAUAUUACAUGUUAUGGUGCAACUGACUAACUGAUUGUCAUAAAGAAAGGUCCCAGCUGAAUAGGAAAAGGAAAAUGUAUCACUGUGUUUACUUUAUGCAUUACCAAGACAGGCGAUCACAGACUCAAAGCAUCAUUUUGUGUGAGCAUUUCAGUGGGUGAAGCAUAAACUAGCCAGUGUUUCAAUCUUGAUUGCAUAUCAUAUAUGUGAUGCAGUUGGGUUAACUGGUUAUUAUUCGUUUUAUCAGUUGAGAUAAAUCAGAGGUAUGCAUAUGUCCUAUUCUUCUGAUCUCAAGGCAAAGCAAUGUAUCAAACUCUCAAUAGCUGACAUGGACAAAAGAAGCAAAAACAAGUUUAUAUGUUGUACUGCGUAAAGGAAUCUGCAUACGUCCUACUGCAUCAUAUAUUUUCACCUCAUAUGACUGGAAAAGGGGUGAGGCCAAGGACAGAUCUUGUUAUUGUGCUAGUUUUGGUCUAAUCAAAUAAAUAUGACUGGCCUGCUCAUGUACUGAUAUUCAUGAAAA